rnacentral:pre_miRNA from 1 species
UGGACAGAUUAUUGUAUUCGACUGUAUUCACGGCGUGAAACAGGAGAUUACAUUGUUUUUAAACGGAAAGUGAAUCAAUUAACAUAAUAGACUCUU